UGAGGCAGUGCUUAGAGCUGUGGGAAAUAGCCACAGUGUUAUUUUCUCUCUGUGUCAAAGUCCAUGGAGUUUUCAGGGAGCCUUGGGAAUUAAAGACAAGAUAGGAAGAACCACAGCUAUUGGCCAGAUUCCUGUGGAGGCUUGAAAUGUAGACUGUGAGCUCCCUCAAGAUGAGACUACAACUCUGAUUCAUUGCUGUGUCCCACAGAAUCAAGGACACAGUAGACUGCAUAUGUUCUGCUAUGAAUGAGUUAUCCUCAAGAGCCAACUGAGAACUCUCCCAUGAACUUUCCCAGCUCAUCAACAUAUGUUGCAAUCAAAAGGAAUAAGUGGUGGUUUACAGUUGUAUGAAGGAGCAAAGCUGAGAACUAUGGAGGAGAGAAGAAAGGCAGAGAAUCUGCUCGGGUGCGGUCAUGGCAGAUGAAUGUGGUAAAAAAUUGAAUAAAACACAUCCACAGUCAAAGGGGAGAGGGCUGAGUGAAAUGGAGUCUGGAAACAGGUACUAAACCUCAAAUCCUGGCUCUGCCACCCACAGCUGGAUAUCUUGGGUAAGUGAGUUAACUUCUCUUUAUUUUUAAAAUGAUGUUCUGGCAGCAUCAACCUCAUGGGAUUAAAGGGUUAUAGGGAUUAAAUGAAUUAAUGCAGUCAGAGUGCUUAGAACAGUCACUGGCCCUUGACAAAGGCUCUGUGGUUGCAAACAUAAUACUGAGUUUGCCAUGGGCAGGGGGGCAGUGACAUAAACCACUAACUGGGGGAAGGAGCUACAUGGCUGAAGAGCCACUGAGUGCAAAGUGCUUCUAAGGAGAGGGCUCAGCAUCAAGAAAGGAUGCAUUAUACCAUGCAAAGGGAGCACCACUCCUGCGCUUGACAUCUCUGAGCUUCCUUGUUUUGUGAAUGAAGGGCCUGAGACCCUAUGUCCAGGGCUCUGGUGGAAGCAUAUUUGCUACUAAAUGACUAUUCUCCGCCCAGUAGCACAAUGUGGCUUGGAAAAAACACUUCAUAAAUGUUUGUUGAAUGAAUACAUGAGCAGAACUCAGGAAAUCACUUUGCCCAACCCAGCCAAAUCUAGCUAGGACUUGCACAGGGAGCAGGGAAUCCCUGGGAAAAUAGAAACUAACAAUUUAAGCAAAACUUGCAUUACUAAAUCAAGAUAAAAUGGGUACAACUUUAAUAAUAUCCAAUUUAUCAACACUUUCCUCCUUUAUUGAAAAUGAGCUUUAACUGCUUCUGUGAUUUGCUAACCCUUUGCACACUGCAUUGCUAAAGUCACACUCAUGUUUCAUUUGUUCGCCCACCAGCAAGCAUGUUUCCAGUGAGUUACUGCUACCUGCCAAAGCACGGUGCUGGCACCAGGGUGUGGAAGGAGAUUAUCUUCUGUUGCUCAGUAUUACUGAGCUCACAGAGAUACAAUAUGACAAGAGAAAUGUGCUCUCUGACAGAAACACAUACAAAGCCUCACGGGAGCACAGAAGCUCAAUCUCCAGUUUGAAAUUUAUAGGACACUGUUUAACUGCCCCCUUUUUUUUUUGCAAAGCAAGAGUGGUAAACUCCAGCUUAGAUCCUUCAACCUUGGAAUAAAGUUUCGAAGUUCCAAUAAAGUUGGUAAUAUUUACUGAACGGGGAAAAUAAACUAAAUAAGAACUAUAAUCCUUGCUUUGUUUCAUAUUUCUCCCCCAGAAUAAUUACAUGUAGAAUUAAUUCUAAGCAAAGUGUUUCCAAUGCUGUCUGGUAGAAAAAAAGGGGGUUCCAAAUUUCUGUUAGCAUGUGAAAUAAUUUAAAGCUAAUUAUGUUAAAUUGAGACUACAGAUAUUUGUCAAGUGUAUAUUUUGGCCUCAGAGAGAGCUAUGAAACAAAACCCAAAGAUAGGUGUAACUUUGUAAAUAUCAAACUGGCAAAAACCUGUCUUUUAAUGAGGAAGGGAUUUUAAUUAUGAUGAAACAAAAUAAUUGCAGAGAAAGCUGCAACUAUUUUAUUUUUAUUUAU